AUUGGAUUUUCUGCGGAUCUCUUCAUGCGCCUUUGUUGUCCAAAAUGUCUGACCAUAAAAUCCUUGAUGAGUUGCUUCACUUUUUCACGCUUCUUUCCAGAGUUUGUUUAAAGAAAUUAGAGAGGUACAGUGGGGUCAUGAUCUGACUGUGAUCUAAUUAUGGGGGGUCAUGAUCUGACUGUGAUCUAGCUAUGGGGUCAUGAUCUGACUGUGAUCUAGCUAUGGGGGUCAUGUUCUGACAGUGAUCUAGCUAUGGGGGGUCAUUAUCUGACCGUGAUCUAGCUAUGGGGGUCAUGAUCUGACCGUGAUCUAGCUAUGGGGGGUCAUUAGCUGACCGUGAUCUAGCUAUGGGUGCAUGAUUUGACAAUGAUCUAUUUAUGGGGGUAAUGAUCUGACCGUGAUCUAGCUAUGGGGGUCAUGAUCUGACCAUGAUCUAAUUAUGGGGGUCAUGAUCUGACCAUGAUCUAAUUAUGGGGGUCAUGAUCUGACUAUGAUCUAGCUAUGGGGGUCAUGAUCUGACUAUGAUCUAGCUAUGGGGGUCAUGAUCAGACUAUGAUCUAGCUAUGGGGGUUAUGAUCUGACUGUGAUCUAGCUAUCGGGCCCUUGAUCUGACUGUGAUCUAGCUAUCAGGCCCAUGAUCUGACUGUGAUCUAGCUAUGGGGCCCAUGAUCUGACUGUGAUCUACCUAUGGGGGUCAUGAUCUGACUAUGAUCUAGCUAUCGUGCCCAUGAUCUGACUGUGAUCUAGCUAUCGUGCCCAUGAUCUGAUAGUGAUCUAGCUAUGGGGGUCAUGAUCUGACCGUGAUCUAGUUAUGGGGAGUCAUUAGCUGACCGUGAUCUAGCUAUGGGUGCAUGAUCUGACAGUGAUCUAGCUAUCAGGCCCUUGAUCUGACUGUGAUUUAGCUAUCGGGCCCAUGAUCUGACUGUUAUCUAGCUAUGGGGCCCAUGAUCUGACUGUGAUCUAGCUAUGGGGGUCAUAAUCUGACCGUGAUCUAGCUAUGGGGGUCAUGAUUUGACCAUGAUCUAGCUAUGGGGGUCAUGAUCUGACCAUGAUCUAGCUAUGGGGGUCAUGAUCAGACUAUGAUCUAGCUAUGGGGGUCAUGAUCUGAUGUGAUCUAGCUAUCAUGCCCAUGAUCUGACUAUGAUCUAGCUAUCGUGCCCAUGAUCUGAUAGUGAUCUAGCUAUGGGGGUCAUGAUCUGACCGUGAUCUAGCUAUGGGUGCAUGAUCUGACAGUGAUCUAGCCAUGGGGGCCAUGAUCUGACUGUGAUUAAUAAUUACAUAAUUAAUUACAUCUGAAUUAAUGACAUCAUAAUUACAUUAAUUACGUCUUUCCUGAAGAAGGGGCCUGAGUUGCCUCGAAAGCUUGCCUAUUGUAAUCUUUUUUUUAGAUAAUAGUCGCCAAUAACAGGUGCCAUUUUGCUUGACUUCUCACUACAUGCAUUGUUCUGUAACGAUUUACAAGCAAAAUCAAUCAUUUUGAAAUUGGACGAAUCUUUUGGAAUCACCCUGUAAUAUUUGGCAUGGGGCGAACAACGUUAGCUCUUCACCAGACAUCGGCUUUGGAGUUUUGCCCAAAGUGUUCAUUUUUUUUGGUCUCGUCCUACCAGCGACUGUUUGUUUUUUUUUUCUCCACUUGCUCUUCCUUUUAAAUUGAGAGGGGCUUCCAUCUGGCCACCCGCCCAUAAACACCCUGAUUGAUGGAGCGUGUUGUUGAGAUGUUUGUCCUUCCAACGAGUUCUCAGCAGUGGACUUGGACAUCUCUGUCCAAGUGAUCGUUGGGAUUUUUCUUUUGGUCACCUCUUUGACCCGAGACCCUCUUCUACCUGCCCGGUUACUCGGUUCGGUCAGACAGCCAAACUCUCGACAGAGGCCCACUGCUUCCAAACGGUUUUCCAUCUAACGAUCAUCAAGGUCACUGGGCUCUUGGGAACGCUCAAAGCUUUACAAAUGGGUUUAGAUUACAUUAGACAAAAGCUUACUAUAAUCCCAGUCGGGGAAGGAAAUUCGUUCAUUAUUCCUCUCGCCAUGAUGCUUUGCCUCGCCACAAUUCGAUCACCGAGGUCUACAGGGAGUUCCGUGGAGUUCAUGGCUGCCCACCAUCAUCCGUACUGCUGACUCAAGAAGCAAUUAAAGACCCAUCUGUUUUGUUGAGUAUCUGUCUAAUUGCAAAGGGAAAAACGAAAACUUGGUGCUGCGAUACUUGAUCUUCUUGGCUAUUGUAGUGUAAUUGCUUUAUUGAUUAUAAACGUCGGAGUUUUGACAUUUUGUCAUUUGUGGCAAUCAACUUUAGCUACCCGCCCUAUUAACACUUGCUGAACAAACAGGCCCUAAGCCUAAUGUUACUCAAUUGUGCACCUCUUUUGUAAGUCGCUUUGGAUAAAAGCGUCUGCUAAGGAAAUAAAUGUAAAUAGUGUCAAUUUAACACAGAGACAACGUCAAAGGCUUGGGGGGAAUCCCCCUGUACACCGUAAGUGUCGGGCAAAAGGAAAUACGUCUUUACAGGCUGGAGUCCAAAACAGAACUGAGUACAGCAAAGAGAAGGCGGCACAUGUGGGCGGCUGAAGGAAAUGACGUCAUGAGUCUGUGGCAUUCUGGAACCGGAAGUGACGUCAGCAGGAGGCGGGGUCUGCUGGGGCGGAACCGGAAGUGGUGGUUAGGCUAAGGGUUCUUCUGUUGUUCUGCAGAGAGAGAGAGGAGAAGAGUUAGAGGACAGCGCCAACCCCUGGUCCGGCGGGCAAACGCACUUCUUCGAGCCCGUUAACUGUCUCCUGUGACAAUAGUUAUUGACCUGACAUGCGUUAUGAAUUGUGGCAUCUUCUAUACGCAGGGACACGUGUGCUUCCAAAAUGAUGUCCAGUCAGGUGGGCUCCAGUCAAGUUCUAGAAACAUCUCGAGGAGAACGGCAGCAAACGGGAGGCCCCUGAGCACCGUCUUCUAAGGAAUGAGAGAUUUUGAGUUUGGGAUUUUUAAUCGUCCUGCAAACUUUGCUGAAGACAUGUUUUCACUCUGUUAUGUGCCAAGGAGCGUACGUAUCCAUUUAAAAUUAAAUUUAAUGUCAGUAAAUGUAAAGUGCGACACGUCUGUGAAUGUAAAGAAUUACAAAUAGGAAGUGAGGUUUGAAUACACAAUGGGCGGUUGGAAAAUCGAGAGCCCACCUCAUGAGAAGGAUUUAGGAGUCGUAGUGGGCUCUAAGCUAUCAACUUCCCAUUAGUGUGCAGAAGCCACGAAGAAGGCUAACAGAAUGUCAGGUUAUAUAGCGCCUUGAUGUGUGCAAUACAAGUCACAGGAGGUUCUGCUCAAGCUUUAUAACACACUGGUGAGGCCUCAUCUGGAGUUCUGCGUGCAGCUACAAAAGGACAUAGCAGCACUAGAGAAGGUCCAGAGAAGAGCAACUCGGGCUGAGUACGGGGCGACAGGGGAAAAGAUUAAAAGAGCUGAGCCAUUACAGAGAUGAAGAGGAGACAGGAGUGAAGUGACUACAAUGAUGAAGGGAAUUAGUCCAGUGGAUCGAGACGGUGACUUUAAAAUGAGAUGAAAUCGAAAGUCCACCUUAUGAGAAGGAUUUAGGAGUCGUGGUGGACUCUAAGCUAUCGACUUCCUGACAGUGUUCAGAAGUCAUGAAGAAGGCUAACAGACUGUCAGGUUAUAUAGCGCCUUGAUGAGUGGUGAGUACAAGUCCAAGGAGGUUCUGCUCAGGCUUUAUAACACACUGGUGAGGCCUCAUCUGGAGUCCUGUGUGCAGUUUGGGUCUCCAGGCUACAAAAAGGACAUAGCAGCACUAGAGAAGGUCCAGAGAAGAGCAACGAGGCUGAUUCAGGGCUACAGGGGAAAAGAUUAAAAGAGCUGAGCCAUUACAGAGAUGAAGAGGAGACAGGAGUGAAGUGAGUACAAUGAUGAAGGGAAUUAGUCCAGCGGAUCAAGAUGGUGACUUUAAAAUGAGAUGAAAGCGAAAGUCCACCUUAUGAGAAGGAUUUAGGAGUCGUGGUGGACUCUAAGCUAUCGACUUCCUGACAGUGUUCAGAAGUCAUGAAGAAGGCUACCAGAAUGUCAGGUUAUAUAGCGCCUUGAUGUGUACAAUACAAGUCACAGGAGGUUCUGCUCAGGCUUUAUAACACACUGGAGAGGCCUCAUCUGGAGUCCUGGGUGCAGUUUGGGUCUCCAGGCUACAAAAAGGACAUAGCAGCACUAGAGAAGGUGCAGAGAAGAGCGACAAGGCUGAUUGAGGGCUACAGGGGAUGAGUUAUGAGGAAAGAUUAAAAGAGCUGAGACUUAAGAAGAUGAAGAGGAGACCUGAGUGAAGUGUUUAAAAUGAUGAAGGGAGUUAGUCCAGUGGAUCGAGAUGGUGACUUUAAAAUGAGUUCAUCAAGAACAUGGGGACACACACAAACUUGUUAUGGGGAAUUUCGUACAAACAUUGGGAAGUUUUUCUUUACACAAAGAACCACAGACACUUGGAAUAAGCGACCAAGUAGUGUGGUGGACAGUAAGACUUUAGGGACUUUCAAAACUCAACUUGAUGUUUUUUUUUUUGGAAGAAGUAAGUGGACAGGACUGGCGAGCUUUGUGGGGCUGAAUGGUCUGUUCUCGUCCAGAGUGUUGUAAUGUUCUGACACAGCGCCCUGCCGCACCCAACAUGACCAAAUCAGAACCCGAGCACAGCCAUGAAACGGGUGACCAAAUUCUUUUUCCCAGAUUUGCGCCUAAAAUGGCGUAAUCGUUCAGACUGUGUUAUGCUAUUAGAUAUUGGGGGAAAAUUUUUUUUUAGCUUGCCGUAAAGUGGUCUGACUACGAUAGUAAAAGUCGAUGGAAUUGAACAAAUGAGGCAUUGAGACUCCAGCGUGACGAUGCCCCGUUACACACAUUGAAUGGCGGCACAGUCACCAGCUCUCAAGGGUGAACUCUGGGAUCAAAUCAAAUCUGUACUCGGCCUGCCCUUUAAUAUCACAAAAUCCGAGACCAAACGCUUCACGGGCUGUGCCCAAGUUCACAGAGGUCUGUGCCUGUCUACCCAAAUCACACCUGUGUGACAGCUGGGCAUCCAUCCGUCACUGGAUCUGAUUGACAUCUGAAUCCCUCCGCUCUUCGGUCACUGUGUCACUUGAAACAACAACACAGCUGACUCUCCUUGAAGCGUCUGCUGCUGGCCCCCUGGGACACUUGGGAAUGGCGGACUAAGCACCUCAUCUCUGUGCCAGCCAGCUGUUCUGCGAUGUUAUUCAACAGGCCAUCAGAAUGUCUAGUUGGACAAGUCUCAUUUUUGGUUCACUUUAUUUUUUUGAUUGUUUAGUCAUAUUUGUAUGUCAUGACAGUGACUUUGGACAAUGCUGAGCUGCCACACUUUCAUUUCAGUCUGGGCAGAGUGCGGGCUUAAGAAUGCCAUUAAAUGUGUGCAAUAACACACUUGUACAAAAGACACAAAGUAUACAACAAAACCACAUAAAGACACCGAUUUGAUGGGAGAGCAACCUCCAUCGAUGAACCUGUCAUGGUGUGCAGCCAUGUGUUCUGUUGACCUUAGUGACAAGGUGACCCUUUACAACCCUUAGUGACAAGGUGACCCUUUUCAUGGUUCUGUAAACCUUAGUGACAGGGUGACCCUUUUUGUGGUUAUGUCGCCCUUUGUGACAAGGUGACCCUUUACGACCCUUAGUGACAAGGUGACCCUUUUCGUGGUUCUGUAACCCUUAGUGACAGGGUGACCCUUUUCAACCCUUAGUGACAAGGUGACCCUUUUCGACCCUUUGUGACAAGGUGACCCUUUUCGUGGUUCUGUAACCCUUAGUGACAGGGUGACCCUUUUUGUGGUUAUGUCGCCCUUUGUGACAAGAUGACCCUUUACGACCCUUAGUGACAAGGUAACCCUUUUUGUAUUUGUCUCACUCUUAGUGACAAGGUGACUCUUUUCAUGGUUGUGUCACCUUUUUUUGGCCAGUAGGCAUUUACCCGAGACUGUAGGCGACGAUGACGAGUGACAUGUUUGACCCUCAUCUGCCCCUCGUCCUCCUUCUGUCUGGUCGGUGUGGUCCUCAGACCCCCUUUUUCUUCCACCACCGCCAAUAUGUGAAGCGUUAAGAAGAGUCUGUCCUGUCGUUUUGCC